rnacentral:rRNA from 1 species
AGAGUUUGAUCCUGGCUCAGGAUGAACGCUGGCGGCGUGCUUAACACAUGCAAGUCGAACGGGGAUUACACGGAGAUGCGAUUUCGGUCAAAUCAAGUGCAAUCUUAGUGGCGGACGGGUGAGUAACGCGUGGGUAACCUGCCUUGCACUGGGGGAUAACACUUAGAAAUAGGUGCUAAUACCGCAUAAGCGCACGGUCCUGCAUGGGACAGUGUGAAAAACUCCGGUGGUGCAAGAUGGAUCCGCGUCUGAUUAGCUGGUUGGCGGGGUAAAGGCCCACCAAGGCGACGAUCAGUAGUCGGCCUGAUAGGGUGGACGGCCACUUUGGGACUGAGACACGGCCCAAACUCAUACUGGAGGCAGCAGUGGGGGAUAUUGGACAAUCGCGGGAACCCUGAUCCAGCGACGCCGCCUGAGUGAAGAAGUAUUUUGUGUAUGUAAAGCUCUGUCAGCAGGGAAGAAAGCAAUGACGGUACCUGACCAAGAAGCCCCGGCUAACUACGUGCCAGCAGCCGCGGUAAUAAGUAGGGGGCAAGCGUUAUCCGGAAUUACUGGGUGUAAAGGGAGAGCAGGCGGCGUGGCAAGUCAGAUGUGAAAACCCGGGGCCCAACCCCGGGAGUGCAUUUGAAACUGCCAUGCUGGAGUGCCGGAGAGGUAAGCGGAAUUCCUAGUGUAGCGGUGAAAUGCGUAGAUAUUAGGAGGAACACCAGUGGCGGAGGCGGCUUACUCCACCCUAACUUACCCUUAGGCUCCAAANCCUGGGGCCCUUCAAGGUUUUUUNCCCUCCUNNUCCCCCCCCUNANCCCCCCUUAUUGAGUACAGGGGCACAAAAGUGCUUCUGUGCCGCAGCUAACGCAAUAAGUAUUCCACCUGGGGAGUACGUUCGCAAGAAUGAAACUCAAAAGGAAUUGACGGGGACCCGCACAAGCGGUGGAGCAUGUGGUUUAAUUCGAAGCAACGCGAAGAACCUUACCAGCCCUUGACAUCCUGCUGGCAGCCCGGUAAUGCGGGCUUUCCUACGGGACAGCAGAGACAGGUGGUGCAUGGUUGUCGUCAGCUCGUGUCGUGAGAUGUUGGGUUAAGUCCCGCAACGAGCGCAACCCCUGCUUACAGUAGCCAGCAGCAAGGCUGGGCACUCUGUAGGGACUCCCGGGGAUAACCCGGAGGAAGGCGGGGACGACGUCAAAUCAUCAUGCCCCUUAUGGGUUGGGCUACACACGUGCUACAAUGGCGCCAACAGAGUGAGGCGAACCUGCGAGGGGGAGCAAAGCACAAAAAAGGCGUCCCAGUUCGGAUUACAGCCUGCAACCCGGCUGUAUGAAAGCUGGAAUCGACUAGUAAUCGCAGAUCAGAAUGCUGCGGUGAAUACGUUGUCCGGGUCUCGUACUAACCGCCCGUCA